rnacentral:rRNA from 1 species
GCACGUCCUCUCUUCUUUCGUGGAAGAGAUGGAGUGGCGGACGGGUGAGUAAACAUGGGUACCUGCCCUCCAGUGAGGAAUACCGGUGAGAAAUCGCUGACAAGCACGCAUACGCCCGGCAACGGGCAAAGUCGCUCGCAAGAUCGGCGCUGGAGGAUGGGCCUGUGGCCGAUAAGCUAGCUGGUGGGGUAACGGCUCACCAGUGCGACGAUCGGUAUCUGGUCUGAUAGGAUGAUCAUCCUCACUGGGAUUGAGAACGGCCCAGACUCCUACGGGGGGCAGCAGUGAGGAAUUUUCCGCAAUGGAUGCAACUCUGACGGAGCAACGCCGCGUGCAGGAGGACGCGCUUCGGCGUGUAAACUGCUUUUCUGCGGGACGAGAGAGGACUGUACCGUAUGAAGAAGCCCCGGCUAACUACGUGCCAUCAGCCGCGGUAAU